AAGACUAUACUUUCAGGGAUCAUUUCUAUAGUUCGUUACUAGAAAAGUUUUUCUGAACAUGUAGAGCACUGACAGAAAC
ensembl:snoRNA U3 Small nucleolar RNA U3